rnacentral:snRNA from 1 species
AUCGCUUCUCGGCCUUUUGGCUAAGAUCAAGUGUGGAGUGAUGGUGCAAAGUUUUACAUUUCUUAUUCCCCAAUAGUUUUCAAUCCAGUAUUUUUGUUGCAUGAUAAAUAUUGUAUAAAUUUCACACACAAAUAUAUGGCCUUUC